rfam:Cerapachys biroi unplaced genomic scaffold scaffold59, whole genome shotgun sequence.
UUCUGUUACAGGCCCGUGGGAGUCUGGGGGAAGAUCGUGGGCUCGUUGUGCGCGAUUGCCGGCGUCUUGACGAUUGCCCUACCCGUCCCCGUCAUUGUCUCCAAU